rnacentral:rRNA from 1 species
ACGAACGCUGGCGGCGUGCUUAACACAUGCCAGUCGAACGGAAAGGCCCUGCUUUUGUGGGGUGCUCGAGUGGCGAACGGGUGAGUAACACGUGAGUAACCUGCCCUUGACUUUGGGAUAACUUCAGGAAACUGGGGCUAAUACCGGAUAGGAGCUCCUGCUGCAUGGUGGGGGUUGGAAAGUUUCGGCGGUUGGGGAUGGACUCGCGGCUUAUCAGCUUGUUGGUUGGGUAGUGGCUUACCAAGGCUUUGACGGGUAGCCGGCCUGAGAGGGUGACCGGCCAAAUUGGGACUGAGAUACGGCCCAGACUACAACGGGAGGCAGCAGUGGGGAAUAGUGCACAAUGGGCGGAAGCCUGAUGCAGAAACGCCGCGUGCGGGAUGACGGCCUUCGGGUUGUAAACCGAUUUCGCCUGUGACGAAGCGUGAGUGACGGUAAUGGGUAAAGAAGCACCGGCUAACUACGUG